rnacentral:lncRNA from 1 species
CUUAGAAGGGAUUUUUAACGAAAAAACGAAAAGAAAAAUAAAAAUGCAAUUCAAAUAUUUACGCAUACCAAAAUGAAAAUGGAUGAAAAAUUAAAUUGAAAGUUUUCUCUAACCCGGAGGAAAUAGAGGAAUGGGGCUUUGGAUGUUUGGAAUACCACUUAUCAUAGUCUCUACUCUGGGUCUCCUUCUUAAUGCUUGUGUACUUCUGGUAGUAGUUGGCCUUGGCAAGCAGACGCAACAACAACAAACUUCUAACACUAUUCUCCUAAUUCAUCUUGGAGCUGUAGAAUUCGCUAUCUGUUUUAUUUUUCUAAUAUCUACGACCGGCUUUUGGCCUAUCACUAGUACCUGGUGUAUGCUACAUGGAUUUUUACUCACAUUUUUGCACCCUGUUGCUCUGUGGACAGUGACUGGACUUAAU